rnacentral:lncRNA from 1 species
UCUCCCACGGAAAGCCACGCCUACCCCAGGCCCCUCCUUCGUUCCCUCCCGAGGGGUUGGCUCUGAUGACCUGGGCAGGGACUCUGCUUCGCAGACGCAGUGUCGAUCUAAUCUUGAGCGCAAGUUUCGUUUUUGGAGAUUGUCAAGGUGACACCCUCGGGGACUCCGUUUCCUUUUACAGUCUCCUGCCGACAUAUUGUUCCCUGUUGAACACCAGAGAUCCUAACUGUGGUCUGGGCUAUAGACUCUGAUGGGGAAUCUUCAGCUAUUCUCUGCUUAAUGAAGGAGAUUUUGAACAUACACGGACUCCAAUUCAGGACCUUGAACUGGGUCAUGUGGUCACCUCCACCUACUGGGAGGCAUCUCCAGCAGGCAAGUUGGAGAAGCUAUGAAGGCAUUGCCAGCUUUCAUUACAUCGGCUACAAUUCAUUCUGGAAUGGAGAAGGAACUCCCAGCUCCUGCUGCCUGAGCACCACAAUUGAGACCAUGUUUUCUUCUGCCUCUGUUAUAUAUUUUCAGUGCUGAAAGCAGCCACUCCAGUUUGCUUCUUUGAGAUAGCUUCUAAUAGUGUUUAUCUAAGAAUCAAGACACUCGGUCAAGAUUAGCCUUUGAGUGGUUGCCUGGCCUGGCUCUAACUAGGUAUUUUAGCAAUGUGCAGUCUGAACAUGCCGGGGGGGGGGUGGCGGGGGUCCUGUCUUUAUUCUCUAUAGUUCCACUACACCUUCAACAGAGCAUUAAAUUUGGCAGAAAUAUAAUCAAGAGUGACAACUCAGUGCUGACCACAGCCUCACUGGGUGGGACAUAUGGGAAACUGCAGGAUAUCAAGGUAGCCGGUAAACCACAGUGUAACUAAAGGAGUCCUUUCAAAGAUACAUUGAAGCAAAACAGAGCAAUCAACAGUUUAGGAACUGCUAAGAAUUUGAGUCAGGGACCUGGAUUCAUGUGUGACUUUGCUUCUAUCCCAUGUGGACCAUAGGCAGGGCAUUAAUGUCUCUGGGGUUUUGACUUCUUUAUGUGUGAAAGAAUGAGGCUGGAGUAGGAAACCUUGUUUAUUUAAUGCACAGGUCUUAUCACUGAACUACCUCUGGCUUGAGGACCCCCCUUUUCUUUUAACAUCAAGUUUUGCAACACAGUCCUGGAUGACUUUGAACACAUAAUUCUCUUGCCUCAAUCUCCCAAAUGAUGGCAUUAAAAAGUACGUAGACACAACAUACUUGUGUACACAUGUGCAUGCACACAUACAAGUAAAUAAACAUGUAACUUUAAAAUUAAAAAGAACA